GCGGGUGUAGCUCAAUGGUAGAGCGCCAGUUUUCCAAACUGGUGACGAGGGUUCGAUUCCCUUCACCCGCUCCA
rnacentral:tRNA from 4 species